ensembl:lncRNA
GACCCAACAGCAGACAAACGGUCCUGGGGACACCCAGCAGCACUGCCAGAAUGUCCAGCGGACCCGUCCCCAGCAGUAUUCGCUGGAGAUACUUAUGGAAAAUUCACUCACAGGGAACAGACGAUGUAAACCCCUUUUCUAAACGCCGAUGCAGGUGGAAGGAUAAGAACUAGCAGAUGAGAGUGGAAAGCUCUCUCCAGGAGUCUGGAGGAUACACAGGACCCCAGGAGGGCCACAGCAUAUACAGAGGCGUGAGGUAAGAGCGGCCCAGACACAUUUUCUGCAGCUUCACAGUUUUUCCAAGGAAAAACCUGAACCAGAAAGCACAGCCUCCAGAGGACGUGGUGAUGGGGAGCCUACGUUGGAGCCUCCUUCGCGCUGUCUCUCCUGGUUGGGGGAAUGACAUCAUUGACAAGUCAUCUUCAAUUACGUCAGGAGUUUCAGGGACAGGAGAGAGAGCAACAGAAUUUAAAAGGGACUGAAAGGGGCGAUCUCUGAUGCUAAAAAGCUACAGUGGCAAUCUGCUGCUCUGAAUGGUAAUUAUCUCAACAGCCAGACAUCAAAAUCCUGUGAGAUAUCCUCUCAAGGCCCAAGGAGAAGGAGGGUAAGACUGUUUUCAUAAGGAUUUUCGGAAAUGCAAACAUAACCCACCCAUCGUGAGAAGGAAAGGAGCCCGGAAGUGCAAACAUAACCCACCCAUUGUGAGAAGGAAAGGAGCCCGGAAGUGCAAACAUAACCCACCCAUCGUGAGAAGGAAAGGAGCCCGGAAGUGCAAACAUAACCCACCCAUCGUGAGAAGGAAAGGAGCCCGGAAGUGCAAACAUAACCCACCCAUCGUGAGAAGGAAAGGAGGCCGGAAGUGCAAACAUAACCCACCCAUCGUGAGAAGGAAAGGAGCCCGGUGAUGCAAUGGGGCCAGAGGGGGCUCUUCUGCCGAGACAGGCGGCACUGGAGAAGCAGCCUGCAGCUUGGCUGUGGCUUGCAUAUUGGCUGUGGCCGCACUGGAGAAGCAGCCUGCAGCACUUGCAUGUUAGCUGUGGCCGUCGUGUUCUGGCCCAGCAGUUGUGGGAAAAGGGAAGUUCAGAGAGAAAUACACAGGACCAGGGGAAGGGGCUUGUUUCCAGCAGGAAAGUUUUUUUUUUUGUUUUUUUUUUUUAUAGCAGCACUUUGUUUUGUUGUUUUUUUCUUUUAAUGUGUUGAUUCUCACAUAUAUUUUUACAAGUAACAUUUUGGAGAAAUUUAGGAGACUCAGUAAAGCAAAGUAAAUAAUAUUUCACAAUC